CAUGGCCUCAACAUCAACACAAAUUGAGUCUGCACCACUUUCCAGCACCUCAACAACACAAGCUGCACCAUCAACUUCAUCUCCCAUUCAUGAGGAAGAAGAAGACAUGGGAGACUACAUCCAGUGGUACCAUGGCCUCAACAUCAACACAAAUUGAGUCUGCACCACUUUCCAGCACCUCAACAACACAAGCUGUACCAUCAACUCCAGCUCUCAUUCAGAAAGACAACGAGGAAAGAAGACAUGGAAGAGACUACAUCCAGUGGUUCCAUGGCCUCAUCAUCAACAUUAAGUGACUCUGCACCACUUCUCAGCACUGAUGUUACCUCUACAGCACAAGCCCAGUGCAGAGUUUGUGAUAUCCCUGACUGGUAAUCAUGGGGGCAC